GGCCACAGCCAUAUCAUCCUGCAGCCCAAGACCGCUUACUGAAGUUAAGCAGAGCUAAGCCUGAUCAGUACCUGGAUGGGAGACCACAUGGGAAGACUAGGUUGCUGUUGGAA
rnacentral:rRNA from 1 species